UCUCUUGUUUUUUGGUUUUUUCUUCACGUCUUCUCGAGCUCUGGGCGCUCCGAAACUGUUUUUUUCCUCCUUCGAUUGGUGUGUAGGGUGAGCUCCGCAUGAAUCGAAGUCUGCGGCUCUCUAUCUCUACUAGGCAUGUGCAGCGGUGCUGCAUUUGGGGAGGCUGCCUAGGAGCAAAAUCGUGCUCAGUUCUGGCAGCUGAUGUUUUGCGGCUGACCUGGUAAUUGAAGACUGCAUUGGGUCAAUUCUAGUGUUGCUGGAGCAACAAUGGAGCCAGUUUGGUUUCUUCGAGGUGUUGCGGCUAAGGUGGCAGGCGACGGCGGUAAUUGUCACCAUCACAGCGCCCUUGCUGAAGUUAUCUUGUGACCCAAAAUUGGGCACAAGUCAUUGGGAAGAGCGAUUUUGUCCUAGUGCACUAAAAACUAGUCACAACUCUUCUACAUAUGGAAGGUUCUCUCAAUUGCAGCCGACUCAAGAAGUUCUCCAAUGUGGUCAGGCCCUGGUGGUCUCCGUUUUUUAUUUAGCUAGACAUGCAAACCAAGUCAAUACAGUUCAUACUAUGAGCGAUAUUAUUUUUGCCAAACCACUGUUGUUCUUCACAACCAAGUGUUCCCUCUAGAACACAUCCGGAAGAUGUUGUAGGAACUGUUCUCGUAGGCUGCCAAUGAUACGUUGAGGUUCUUGUUCUUAUUGCUAUUUAUCGAUCUUGUUGUAGAUUGUUAGCUGUGCAUUGGAAGAGCGUGCUGGAAUAGGUAAACAUCAAAGAGGGAAGGCACUUACCCUCUCCACAAUCUUGCUGUUGUUCGAUGAGCCAUGCAACCAAUUUGCGACUAGUAUCAUUCAAACUGGAAGGAUCGUAAGGGUUCAUGCUACUGAGCAUGUGGGAUAGCAAGGCAAGAAAAGCAUUGACUAUAGUUAGUUUCAUCAACUCUCCGCUUCAGGGAGAUGAUGCACUGAGGAGUGGGGCUGCUCAAAGCAAAAGGCAUCAACCCCAAAGGAACAGGAGUGACCUUCUCUAAGAGAACAUGGCAACUCGGCUUUAAGACUGCAAACCAUUAGAGGCAGAGCUAAGGGAGAAUAGAAGUCGUCCCAAGCUUUAAUCACUCCCAAUUCUUUGAAUGGUCGGAAUCCAAGAUUAAGUACAACUUCAACGACUAGGCAAGAUUACCAAGUUUUACUGUUAAAAGUUUUUAGUAAAUAAAAAAUUAUUUUGCAUGAAUUUAAAUCAAUAGAGAUGAACCAAGGAUUUCAAAUGGGAGAGUUACUAGAGAAGACAAUGAUCUAAAGUUAGAUGAAUUCUUAUUUACAUAUGAAAAUCCAUUCAUGGAUGGAAUUUUCUUUUGGAUGAACUUUGAAUU